UACAGAGGGGGCAAGCGUUGUUCGGAAUUACUGGGCGUAAGGGGCGCGUAGGCGGCCCGCUAAGUCGAACGUGAAAUCCCCGAGCUCAACUCGGGAACUGCGUCCGAUACUGGCGGGCUUGAAUCCGGGAGAGGGAUGCGGAAUUCCAGGUGUAGCGGUGAAAUGCGUAGAUAUCUGGAGGAACACCGGUGGCGAAGGCGGCAUCCUGGACCGGCAUUGACGCCGAGGCGCGAAAGCUAGGGGAGCAAACGGG
rnacentral:rRNA from 1 species